rnacentral:rRNA from 1 species
GAUGAACGCUAGCGGCAGGCCUAAUACAUGCAAGUCGAACGGAUAUAUGUUUUUCGGAAUAUAUAUUAGUGGCGCACGGGUGAGUAACACGUACAUAACUUGCCCUCAAGCGGGGGAUAGCCUUGGGAAACUGAGAGUAAUACCCCAUAGAAUUAUUGGACGGCAUCGUUUGAUAAUUAAAACUACGGUGUUUGGGGAUAGAUGUGCGUCUGAUUAGCUAGUUGGUGAGGUAACUGCUCACCAAGGCGACGAUCAGGUAGGGGGCGUGAGAGCCGUCGGCCCCCCACACGGGUACUGAGACACGGACCCGACUCCUACGGGAGGCAGCAGUAA